GUGUAUUUGGUUGUCAUGGUUUUUGUUCCUAUGGCAACUGAGUUAGAUUACUAGGGGAUAGCCCAGCUAGUUUGAGCUGGUCAGUUGAGCUUCGUGUCUGUAAAUAAAUGGUAGCUUUGUUAGCUGUCUGCUCUCUGGCCUCAAGUGAUUUCUUCCUAAACUGGCUGCCCCCAAAGAUAUAACACACUCCACAUACCCCACUCCUGGUGGGUGCAGGAUGAGGCCCAGCAGCUCGUGUUCCUGCACACCAUGCACCCCGUGUGUCUCGCUGCACAGCAGAGAGGGCAGGACACACUGGAGCCGCACUGCUGCAAGGAGGUCAUUGAAGAACUGCCUGAUAACUCUCCACCCGGGGCCUUCCUCGCUAACUCCCUGAUUGCUGUGAGCAACCUCAGUUUCAUGUUCGUGUUAGUGCCAGUCCCACCCCCGCACUGCACAGUCUAAUAC